rnacentral:tRNA from 2 species
UGGGGCCGUAGCUCAAUCGGUUAGAGCAGCAAACUCAUAAUUUGUUGGUUGCAGGUUCGAGUCCUGCCGGCCCUAU